AGAUUGAUAUCACCUCAACGGAAAUUUCAUACUCCAAGUAUGGAGCUGUAGCAGUUGGUCUGGUCUGUGUUUGGGUGUUCCUUGUCUGUCUUUUACACAGUAUUAGUUCUUUAACAGUUUUGGUAAACCCCAGAGUUGACAUUCAGCUUCCCAAGCCUGACGUUACUUUGCCAUGCAACAUUACAACACAAAACCCCAGAGCCAAAUACACGGUGAUAUGGCGCAGCCAGCGGCUGAACGGCGACAGAUUACUCAGUGGUCUAUCAAGCGGUCAAACCUACACAGUCGCAGAGUUUAAUGACACGGCUUUCCUGGGAGAGGACUGCUCUUUGGUUCUCCGUGACCCUAAACCAGAAUAUAGUGACAACUACUCCGUUACUGUUGUUGUACUCGAGGAACAAGCCGUGGUUGAGGCUCAAGUUUGCCUGAAUGUUUGGCCCCCAGUGUCGGUGACUCCUCAAAUGAAAACAGUGAACCACAUUGAUAAUGACAAAGUGACAAGCCAAUAUCCUUCAUAUAGAGGUGAGUUAUAAACAGAAAAAGAAUGAUACUGAAAAUAAAAAUAUUUAUAUGGUCAUUUGAUUGAAGUUUAUUUCCGAUUGAAAUAAACACGGAAAACUGGAAUUCUAUUUUGAUUGGUUUGCCAGCAGCACAUGACGUUCCUUGGAUGGCCAUUGAUUCCUAUAAACAACAUAAUAUGCUCUAGGCUUAGACCAGAGAUCUCGAAACCAUAAACUGGUGUUUGCAGCAAGCUAUUCCACAGCAGAUAA